UACAGAGGGUGCGAGCGUUAAUCGGAAUUACUGGGCGUAAAGCGUGCGUAGACGGUUUCGUAAGUCGGGUGUGAAAUCCCCGGGCUCAACCUGGGACCUGCAUUUGUGACUGCAUCGCUAGAGUACGGUAGAGGGGGAUGGAAUUCCGCGUGUAGCAGUGAAAUGCGUAGAUAUGCGGAGGAACACCGAUGGCGAAGGCAAUCCCCUGGACCUGUACUGACGCUCAUGCACGAAAGCGUGGGGAGCAAACAGG
rnacentral:rRNA from 1 species